rnacentral:rRNA from 1 species
UACAGAGGGGGCAAGCGUUGUUCGGAAUUACUGGGCGUAAAGGGCGCGUAGGCGGCCUUCUAAGUCGAACGUGAAAUCCCCGGGCUCAACCCGGGAACUGCGUCCGAUACUGGAAGGCUUGAAUCCGGGAGAGGGAUGCGGAAUUCCAGGUGUAGCGGUGAAAUGCGUAGAUAUCUGGAGGAACACCGGUGGCGAAGGCGGCAUUCUGGACUGUAACUGACACUGAUGAACGAAAGCCAGGGGAGCAAACGGG